UAAUGUCUGGGAAACUGCCUGAUGGAGGGGGGUAACUACUGGAAACGGUAGCUAAUACCGCAUAAUGUCGCAAGACCAAAGUGGGGGACCUUCGGGCCUCAUGCCAUCAGAUGUGCCCAGAUGGGAUUAGCUAGUAGGUGGGGUAACGGCUCACCUAGGCGACGAUCCCUAGCUGGUCUGAGAGGAUGACCAGCCACACUGGAACUGAGACACGGUCCAG
rnacentral:rRNA from 1 species